CAGGAGCGGUGUGCAUUUUUAGUGGGACUAAGAACUUGGGAGGACACUGCAGAUUACACGUCUUCCUUUCCGGCAUGUUCAGAAUGAACUUUUCUGGAAGAAAGUAGAUUAGGCGUUGCAUCAGAUUGGAAUUUAAAACAUCCAACAGGAGGACAUGAUUCAACAUUGAGCUUAGCGUGGUGCUACAGCUGAACAAAGAUUUUCGGAAAAUGUUGACAUGAGGAGGGCCUGACUUACAGAAAAAAAAUAGGCUGUCUGUAAUCCAUUUCUGCUCUCUGCUCAGAAUAUUUCCUCAUCCAGCCUGCCUUCAUUUGAGGGCCACCUACCUGCUCACAGUCCUCAGUGC